AAAAGGUAAAUACAUACCUUUUCAUUCAGAAAGCUGUUCCCUGAAAGAGUUGGGAGGCUUUGAAUUCCCUUCAUCACUGGGAGGAGAGCAGGAGCCAUACACUGUGUGUGAGGGGUGUGGGGACCAUUCCUACUGUCUCCCUCCCUCUGUUCUCCCCUAAAUGAUCCUGAGCCAGGAAGAGUGAUGCAGAAUGUCUCUCACCCUGUGGAAGAGUUGGUCAGGCUGGUCCUCAGACAACCAGGGAAGCUCUUGGGGUCCUGGAGAAUAGGCACAUAGCAGAUAAAAGGAGUUCUUAACCAAACUUCCCUAGAACGGAGGGAGCUAACAAGAAAGAACUUUGGAAAUCUACCCUCCUCUUUCCCUGUCACUGCCAGGAAUGUCACCAUGAGAGCAGUUUCAGUUAAUGAGCAAACUCCUCAGACAAGGCAGGAAGGCAGCUCUUGGGCCUCACUGUCAAGCACAGGAAGCGACUGGAUUCCACUUGCCCGGUGUAGGGAUGACAGCAGGUAUUGAGUGGGACUGCAGGCCUGACAUCCUUAGCUCCUCCACACCCAGGACAGCCCGGCUGUCAGCACAGGGCAGCAGAAAGGACAGGGGACAAGCUCCAGGUGUGGGCGAGUCCCAGAGCAGCCCGGGGAGAGUGUCACUGUGUGGGUGCUGGCGUGGGGGCAGGAGCACACCACAUGCAGUUGCACGGGGGACUGAAUCUGAGGCUUUGGGGGAAGCAUCCAAGCCCCAGGGUGUGUGUGAGGGGGUCCCCCACAUGAGCAAUUCCUCAGGCCCAGCAAUGGCUGAUUCCCUCUGCUCGAGGAGAAAUCUCAUGUGAGGAAGGUGGAGUCAGGUCAGCUCCUCUCCAAUUACCCAGAAUGGGUGAGAGUUGAAGAUCUAGAAACAGAUUGCUGAGGCAGGAGAACAAAUGGUGACCCCUGCGCCUGCCCACGUUCCUGGAGGAAAACAGGAGCCAGUAGAGAGUGAGCUGACUCGGUGUGACUCCCUUAACAUUGACACAAAAGAGAAACUAUCAUAGGUCAUGGGUACCAGCAUCCCCAGUUCUCAUCAGGAAGCAGUACCCCAGGGCACAUGUCCCACAGACUGCUGAAAGAGAUCUUGCUCAGAGGCUUCACAAGAAGAUGAAGGGACCCAGGAGGAGAUUGUGGGUCCAUGGGAACUGUCAGGUAUGCUCAGGUCUCUCUCCACCCCCCUUGACUCCUGCCUGGGCUCAUCUCUAGAGAUGCCCCUGGUCUGGCUGUGCAGAACACUGGAUUGUCACUUGGAAGCAGGAAGCAGUUGUCCAAGGCUGCCUGAGCAGUGGGGAGUCUCAGAGUUAAGGGCUGGAUCUAGGACAGACAUGGCUUCAGCAGGAGGGGAUGUGGACUGGGGGGUCUUCCAGCUGGGCUAACCCACAGGCAUCAGGGGACAGGCAAGAGGCGACCAGGACUUCCCUAACCACCAGAAAGUGAUUCAGCUAAAUUGAGGAAGACUUCCGUUUCAGCAGAAUGCAUUUUCCACUAUGGUAAGAGCUUUCUCACCCACGGGCUCUAGAAGAUCAGAGUCCUCCAAAGAGGGUUUGGAGAGUUUCGGUUUGAAUAGUCAAUGCUGAUUCUUAAUCAUUAUUUUGAAGAGGCAGCUCUUGGUUUUCCAGCAGGUGGCUGGGUCUCAGGGCCGUCAAGCCAGGUGUGUAUGUGAAUACAUGGGUGCAUACCGUGUGAGCAUUUGUCACCUUGGAGGCCAGGAAGGAAGGCAGCCAUGAUCAUUCCUUUGGUCAGUGGUAAGCUCUGUCCAGGUCUGCAGAAUGACCUAUAUAUGCCACCCUCACAACCCUGCCAUGAGAGCUAAUAGCUACACUGAAGUUUCACUGUGUGCCAGGCAGCA
rnacentral:lncRNA from 1 species